CAGAGGGGGCAAGCGUUAUUCGGAAUUAUUGGGCGUAAAGGGCGCGUAGGCGGCUUGGCAAGUGGAAGGUGAAAUCCCUCGGCUUAACCGAGGAACUGCCCUCCAAACUGCUUUGCUUGAGGCCGGGAGAGGCGAGUGGAAUUCCCAGUGUAGCGGUGAAAUGCGUAGAUAUUGGGAGGAACACCAGUGGCGAAGGCGGCUCGCUGGACCGGUUCUGACGCUGAGGCGCGAAAGCGUGGGGAGCAAACGGGAUUAGAUACCCCGGUAGUCCACGCUGUAAACGAUGAGUGCUUGGUGUAGCGGGUAUCGACCCCUGCUGUGCCGAAGUCAACACAUUAAGCACUCCGCCUGGGGGAGUACGGUCGCAAGGCUG
rnacentral:rRNA from 1 species